AAAAAAAUCUAUAAACACAGAUAUAAAAAGCUACUGUUGCCUCUGUUCAAGUUCCCAUCACAUGUGACCUGAUUUUCUUAUCUUCUGUGAUGUCUGGACCCUUAUUUCCCAGAGAAAGCCAAGGCGAAUUGCUUUCAGGAGUCUCUAUCUCUGUCUGCAAACCAAACCCAGUUUGCCCAUUAGGCAGACAUCUGGUGUGGAGACCACGGCAAAACUUCCUCAUGGAGCCUCAAUCUGAGUGGAAGGCCAAGCUGUACUUGGUCAGAAUUCAUCUGGAGAUCAAGAGAGAGUUGAAAUCACAGCAGGAGGGCCGUGAAGAGAGAAGAUGUUUUUAAAACUUGGAUGGUUUCCCAGGAAUUUUUUUUUUUCAUUUCUUUCUUUUUUUUUUUUUAUUUUUAUUUUUUCUUUUUCUUUGGCUUCCCACUUUCCAAAAAUACGAGGUAACAUCAGAGGUUUCCCAAGCUGUCAUAAGGUUUGAAGAGAGCGUGUUGGCAUGUUCAUUGCCCCUUAGGAAACAAGGCUAUCUGUUUUUCUUCCCAGCUUUGCAGUCCAUGUGAGCAUUUUGUUAACAGCAGGUCAGCUGUUUCAAAUUCAGUCGCUAUCAACAUAGACCUUGUUAUCAGGGAAAGAAAAUGCUUUUUCUGUGAGCCUGGUUUUCUUCAAGUCUCCCUUUUGUUAGAAUCUGUGACCAUUACUGCUUUUGUGAAUAUAUUUC
rnacentral:lncRNA from 1 species